rnacentral:rRNA from 1 species
GAUGAACGCUGGCGGCGUGCCUAAUACAUGCAAGUCGAGCGAACGGACGAGAAGCUUGCUUCUCUGAUGUUAGCGGCGGACGGGUGAGUAACACGUGGAUAACCUACCUAUAAGACUGGGAUAACUUCGGGAAACCGGAGCUAAUACCGGAUAAUAUUUUGAACCGCAUGGUUCAAAAGUGAAAGACGGUCUUGCUGUCACUUAUAGAUGGAUCCGCGCUGCAUUAGCUAGUUGGUAGGGUAACGGCUUACCAAGGCAACGAUGCAUAGCCGACCUGAGAGGGUGGUCGCCCACACUGGAACUGAACCACGGUCCAGACUCCUACGGGAGGCAGCAGUAGGGAAUCUUCCGCAAUGGGCGAAAGCCUGACGGAGCAACGCCGCGUGAGUGAUGAAGGUCUUCGGAUCGUAAAACUCUGUUAUUAGGGAAGAACAUAUGUGUAAGUAACUGUGCACAUCUUGACGGUACCUAAUCAGAAAGCCACGGCUAACUACGUG